rnacentral:rRNA from 1 species
CAGUCGAGCGAACGGACGAGAAGCUUGCUUCUCUGAUGUUAGCGGCGGACGGGUGAGUAACACGUGGAUAACCUACCUAUAAGACUGGGAUAACUUCGGGAAACCGGAGCUAAUACCGGAUAAUAUUUUGAACCGCAUGGUUCAAAAGUGAAAGACGGUCUUGCUGUCACUUAUAGAUGGAUCCGCGCUGCAUUAGCUAGUUGGUAAGGUAACGGCUUACCAAGGCAACGAUGCAUAGCCGACCUGAGAGGGUGAUCGGCCACACUGGAACUGAGACACGGUCCAGACUCCUACGGGAGGCAGCAGUAGGGAAUCUUCCGCAAUGGGCGAAAGCCUGACGGAGCAACGCCGCGUGAGUGAUGAAGGUCUUCGGAUCGUAAAACUCUGUUAUUAGGGAAGAACAUAUGUGUAAGUAACUGUGCACAUCUUGACGGUACCUAAUCAGAAAGCCACGGCUAACUACGUGCCAGCAGCCGCGGUAAUACGUAGGUGGCAAGCGUUAUCCGGAAUUAUUGGGCGUAAAGCGCGCGUAGGCGGUUUUUUAAGUCUGAUGUGAAAGCCCACGGCUCAACCGUGGAGGGUCAUUGGAAACUGGAAAACUUGAGUGCAGAAGAGGAAAGUGGAAUUCCAUGUGUAGCGGUGAAAUGCGCAGAGAUAUGGAGGAACACCAGUGGCGAAGGCGACUUUCUGGUCUGUAACUGACGCUGAUGUGCGAAAGCGUGGGGAUCAAACAGGAUUAGAUACCCUGGUAGUCCACGCCGUAAACGAUGAGUGCUAAGUGUUAGGGGGUUUCCGCCCC